rnacentral:rRNA from 1 species
CCCGUGCACGCGUUCGAUAGAAAAAAAAUACCCAUUCCCAAUUCGUGCGGCCGCGCACCCCACCGAUGGAUCCGCCGCUCCCCCCCGCCGCCGGCACGCCAUCAUCCGCCGCGCCGUCCUCCCCGCACCCUGGCCUGUCUCCUCUCCGCCGCGCCCUCCUCCCCGCGUCGUCCGAGUCCUCCAGGCGCGGUUCGCCGAAGGCGAGGCCCAGGCCGCCGCGCUCCUGGCCCGCGCCGGCCGGUUCGAGCGCACGCCGCCGACCGCGACCAGCUGCUCAUCACGCUCCUCUCCGCCGCGGGAAACGGCCGGGAGGAGGAGGACGCGCGGGAGGCGGGGCAGCGUCCGAUCCGGCCGAGGCUUACAGCGACACGGACGCGGAGGCUCUGGCCGCGGUCGCUGCGCUCCCUCCGUUCACUACCUUCCCGAUGGCUUUCUCUGUUCAAUUGCUUAAUUUGGUUGUCUUGUCUUACCUGAACUGCAAGGGAACCAACAUACAUGGUUUUGUUUGGUGAGAUUCUCUUUAGAAAACAAGAUUUGUAUUGGUGGUAGAUCGACAGCAACUGACAGCAUCUUCGUCAUCCGCGGUGGCAGUGCCGUCCGCGCGGAAUGCCUUCUGUGGCCGCGCCUCCGCCACCGACACCGCCACGCAGCCAAUGAUGUUGGCAUGUGGUGAAAAAAGGGCCCAAGUGAAAGGUCGACCAAGCUGUAAAAAUUCAGUGAGAGGAAUUUUUGUGCUCACAGCUCACACCAUGGCGUCCGUUGCCUCUGUUCUUACUUUAUUAUUUUGUUUUUCCCUUCGUCGAUUUUUCAUGUCGCCUGACAAGAACAAGAAUUGCAAAGAAGAAGUGAAAAGAAAACACAGAACAAAGGAUGAACGCCGGAGAGCACUACUAUAUAAUUUCCCCCCAAAAUAUGAUGGGCAGUGGUGUGCUUGUUUGCAUUGAUCGCAUGGUGGCCAGCACUUCACCACACAUCUGACGGCGACUGUUUUAUCCAAGAGGUGGAGGAUAAGAGAAGCGCAUCUCUUAAAUUCACAGUUUUGAACCUAAAGAGACACAUCUAGAAAAUGAUUGCACGAGUGGUUCCAGUGUCAUGUACGUCAACAUGGUUGGAGAUUUGGGAUCGGAUGCUGCGCCAAGAGCGAGGGACCGAGGUGCUGAACUAACAGCAGGGGGGAGGGUGAUUCUUUAGGGAGCUGCACAAAUUUGGAACAACUUCCAGAACAGGCAUCCAAGCAUUUUGGUCUGCUACCAGUAAGCUGCCAGAGCAAGAUAGCUGGGAGUCUGGGAUGUCGAGUCGUCGAGCCGUCCAAUGCCAAGUUCGCCGGCGGAAGGAGAACAUCCGUCAAGCCGUCCGUCGCCUGAGGCGGCUACACCAGAGGUCCGUGGGUUACUACUCCUUUGCUCUUGCUGGCGACCGGCCUCCAGAGUAGCACUUGCUUGAGAUCUGAUCUAGAACUGAAUUGUGCCCUGCUUUGCUGUGGUCGUAUGCUCUGUGUCCACCGAUGAGUUUCAGAUACAGAAUAGGACCAAAAUUGGAGUAGGUUCAGUCGCGCAAAUGUUGUAUCACUUUGUCAUGGGUAUUGUGCUGCUAAAUUGCUUGUUGGAUUGUUCAAACUAAAGUCAUCCAGUCAGUUUGCUACAAUGUUCAUUUGUUUACUUCGGAAGUUCUUGGGCCUGAUCACUUUCGAAUUUGUCUAUGGUUUGAGAUUAAUCUUUCCGAGAUGUUAGAGAGUGGGUCCAAGGAUGGAUCUGCCCAUCAGUGUGCAGAGGAUCUUCUAAUUCCUGCAGCUAAUCUUGAUUCA